rnacentral:rRNA from 1 species
CCUACGGGAGGCAGCAGUGAGGAAUAUUGGUCAAUGGACGAGAGUCUGUACCAGCCAAGUAGCGUGAAGGAUGACUGCCCUAUGGGUUGUAAACUUCUUUUAUAUGGGAAUAAAAUGUUCCACGUGUGGGAUUUUGUAUGUACCAUAUGAAUAAGGAUCGGCUAACUCCGUGCCAGCAGCCGCGGUAAUACGGAGGAUCCGAGCGUUAUCCGGAUUUAUUGGGUUUAAAGGGAGCGUAGGUGGAUUGUUAAGUCAGUUGUGAAAGUUUGCGGCUCAACCGUAAAAUUGCAGUUGAAACUGGCAGUCUUGAGUACAGUAGAGGUGGGCGGAAUUCGUGGUGUAGCGGUGAAAUGCUUAGAUAUCACGAAGAACUCCGAUUGCGAAGGCAGCUCACUGGACUGCAACUGACACUGAGGCUCGAAAGUGUGGGUAUCAAACAGGAUUAGAUACCCGGGUAGUC